rnacentral:lncRNA from 1 species
GCAGCGGCGGCGGCAGCGGUGCUAAGCGAUUCCGGUGACGAUUUUGUUUGGGAAAGAGAGGGGAAACAAGUAUGAGGGCACUAAGAUUCUAUUUUUACCUUCAAUUUUGGAUGAGGAGCAGUGGGAGUGAUGAAUUUCACAAUGAAGCCCCGGCGGCCAAAACCUCAGCUCCGGCUUGGCCGAGCUCGGCGGUGGCGAUUCCGGCCGUGGGACACGGCGCAGGUUUGGGGGGAUGGAGAAGAAGGUUACUGCGACGUUGCUUGAUGUUGGUGGCCAGUGGUGAGGUGGACGGGAGAGACGGCAAUGAAUGGAUGGCGGUCGCAAGCUACAGCAACAAAGGGAGAGAUAAAAAGCUUGAUUUCAUUAAGUCGGUGCCAGUACGUCCGUUUUGAGAUUAAGCGUACAAAGACGACGCGUUGAUACACGAGGCAGCUGCGUCGGUUGCGACGUCGAUCGAGCCAAGCUCUGCUUCGGGCGGUGGAGAGAGGCGGCAACCGAGUGAAUGAUGGCGAGCUCGGCUUCAAGUCGGUUCGAGGCGAGGCUGCUUAUACGACGGCGACGCGUGGGUGAUGGGGUGGCUGGGAAGCAUCGACGGCAGCAGCUGCGUCGCCGUGGUGGUCGGCAAAAAAAAAAAAAAAAGGCAGCGGCAGCUAGAGAGACACCGGGAGGGAGAGAAAAACAGGG